rnacentral:rRNA from 1 species
CGCGUAGGCGGUCUUGUCGGUCAGAUGUGAAAGCCCAGGGCUCAACCCUGAACAUACAUUUGAAACAGCAAGACUUGAGUACGGGAGAGGAGAGCGGAAUUCCUGGUGUAGAGGUGAAAUUCGUAGAUAUCAGGAGGAACACCGAUGGCGAAGGCAGCUCUCUGGACCGAUACUGACGCUGAGGCGCGAAGGCGUGGGUAGCGAACAGGAUUAGAUACCCUGGUAGUCC